UAAGGAAUAUUGGACAAUGCCCGCAAGGGUGAUCCAGCCAUGCCGCGUGCAGGAAGACGGCCCUAUGGGUUGUAAACUGCUUUUGAACAAGAGAAAACCCUUCUACGUGUAGAAGGCUGAUAGUAUUGUUAGAAUAAGCAUCGGCUAACUUCGUGCCAGCAGCCGCGGUAAGACGAAGGAUGCAAGCGUUAUCCGGAUUCAUUGGGUUUAAAGGGUGCGUAGGCGGCCAUAUAAGUCAGUGGUGAAAUCUCCUUGCUUAACAAGGAAACUGCCAUUGAUACUGUUUGGCUUGAGUAUAGUUGCUGUGGGCGGAAUAUGACAUGUAGUGGUGAAAUACAUAGAGAUGUCAUAGAACACCGAUUGCGAAGGCAGCUCACAAAACUAUAACUGACGCUGAGGCACGAAAGUGCGGGGAUCAAACAG
rnacentral:rRNA from 1 species